ensembl:snoRNA U3 Small nucleolar RNA U3
AAGGCUAUGCUUUCAGAAAUCAUUUCUCUAGUUGGUUACUGGAGAAGGGUGGUUGUCAUCAAAGCCUGGUUUUGCUAACCAUGAUGAGGAACCGUAGUGUUUUUUUCUGAGCAUGACAAUGGCUGAGAGUGCUGUUUUGUGGCAGCUGCUUUCUGUUGUGGAAGAGUCUCUUGUUGUUCCUGAGAAAAGCAGGGGAAAGAAACACACUCUGAGUAGU